rnacentral:rRNA from 1 species
CUUGAUAUUCCAGUACCACCGUGUUCGCGCCAAGCCCAAGAGGGGCGACGUGAGGGCUGACUUCGGUCGAUCCCAUCGAGCCGCUGGCGGGUAACUGGAGGGGGACGCAGGAGGGUAGGUGAACCGGGGCGAUGGUAGUCCCCGGGUAAGCGUGUAGGGGGGUCCCGAUGAGAGUUGGGGCCGUAACUCUGAGACGUGAUGCCGAGCCGAUUCAGGCGAAGUCACUGAUCCCAUGCUGCCAAGAAAAGCCCAACAGUGAGUUAGCACGGUGCCCGUACCCCAAACCGACACAGGUGGGCGGGUAGAGAAUACCAAGGCGUUCGGGAGAACUAUGGUUAAGGAACUCGGCAAAUUACCUCCGUAACUUCGGAAGAAGGAGGACCCUAGUAGCGUGACGACACUUGCUGUCCGAGCGUGAGGGGGCGGCACAGACCAGGGGGUAGCGACUGUUUACCAAAAACACAGCAGCGUGCGAAGCCGCAAGGCGCUGUAUACGCUGUGACGCCUGCCCAAUGCUGGAAGGUCACGGGGAACGGUUAGUCGAAAGGCGAAGCUGUGAACCUAAGCCCCAGUGAAUGGCGGCCGUAACUAUAACGGUCCUAAGGUAGCGAAAUUCCUUGUCGGGUAAGUUCCGACCUGCACGAAUGGCGUAACGACUUCCCCACUGUCUCAACCAUAGACCCGGCGAAAUUGAAGUACGAGUAAAGAUGCUCGUUAGCUGCGGAAGGACGGAAAGACCCCAUGGACCUUUACUAUAACUUGGUGUUGAGUCGUGGUCUGCGUUGUGUAGGAUAGGUGGGAGACUUGGAAGCAUUGGCGCCAGCCAGUGUGGAGUCAACGUUGAAAUACCACCCUGCGUAUACCGGGACUCUAACCUCGGCCCAUUAUCUGGGUCAGGAACAGCGCCAGGCGGGUAGUUUGACUGGGGCGGUCGCCUCCUAAAAUGUAACGGAGGCGCCCAAAGGUUCCCUCAGGCUGGUUGGCAAUCAGCCGUCGAGUGCAAUGACACAAGGGAGCUUGACUGCGAGACUGACAGGUCAAGCAGGUGCGAAAGCAGGGCAUAGUGACCCGGCCAUCACGUGUGGAAGUGUGGUCGCUCAACGGAUAAAAGGUACCCUGGGGAUAACAGGCUAAUCUUUCCCAAGAGUCCAUAUCGACGGAAAGGUUUGGCACCUCGAUGUCGGCUCAUCGCAUCCUGGGGCUGAAGCAGGUCCCAAGGGUUGGGCUGUUCGCCCAUUAAAGCGGUACGCGAGCUGGGUUCAGAACGUCGUGAGACAGUUCGGUCCCUAUCCUCCGCAGCCGUAGGUGUAUUGAGGAAGGCUGUCCCUAGUACGAGAGGACCGGGACGGACGGAGCUCUGGUGUGUCUGUUGUCCUGCCAAGGGCACGGCAGAUUGGCCACCUCCGGAAGGGAUAACUGCUGAAAGCAUCUAAGUAGGAAACCCGUUCCAAGAUGAGUACACCCAUGCGGUCAACGCAGUAAGGCCCGUGACUAGACCAUCACGUUGAUAGGCCGGAAGUGGAAGCACGGUAACGUGUGGAGCUGACCGGUACUAAUCGGCCGAGGGCUUGGACC